AAAAUAAAAUUCUGACCGUGCCCCUAUAAGAUCCUCAUUCUGAUUCUUCCUAAACCCUAGUACGACAACCUAAUGCUCUGCGGAAGAUCGUCUCUGCAAUUUCUAUCUCAGUUUCUUAUCUUUUCUCAGACAACACCGGCGGCGACCUCCACUGAAACCAAUGACCAUCCAUAUUGGAGAUGACAAUCGAGGAGACAAAAGUGAAACGAAAUCUAUAUGGGACUCAAGGAUGUACGAGAUUUUUGUUGAUCUUGCUGUAAAACAAGAAGUGAGGGCAAAUAGAGCACACAAGAACAAAGAGGGUUAGAAUAUGUGAUGAGAUAAAACAUGUGAUAUUUUUUGAAGCACAAAUGCAGAAUGUACCUUCUCCUCAAACCACCACCAAAACCGGCUGUCACCACCCUCACCACACCCACCCAACCCAGUGAACUGAAACUGUCAUCUUGUUUACUAUCCCACUCACGUGUAUGCAUAAGGUUUUGAUGUACCAGUUUUUUAGUUUUGUAUUGCAUUGUACUCUUUUUGGGCCACUAAUGUGGACACAGUUUCAAAAUUUAUUUUUUGCCCAUCUUUACUUGUCUGGCCUUGGGGAAUGCCUCAUGUUUUUAUUGUAAUUACUCUUUUGUUAUACUAUACCACUUAAAUACUGAAAAACAAUUUUGUUUAUGUAAUUUCAUUAUGUUUAAUGGGUUGUUUGUA